rnacentral:rRNA from 1 species
CCUACGGGAGGCAGCAGUGGGGAAUAUUGGGCAAUGGGUGCAAGCCUGACCCAGCAACGCCGCGUGAAGGAAGAAGGCUUUCGGGUUGUAAAAUUCUUUUAAGAGGGAAGAGCAGAAGACGGUACCUCUUGAAUAAGCCACGGCUAAAUACGUGCCAGCAGCCGCGGUAAUACGUAGGUGGCAAGCGUUGUCCGGAUUUACUGGGUGUAAAGGGCGUGUAGCCGGGCUGACAAGUGAGAUGUGAAAUUCCGGGGCUCAACCCCGGACCUGCAUUUGAAACUGUUGGUCUUGAGUAUCGGAGAGGCAGGCGGAAUUCCUAGUGUAGCGGUGAAAUGCUUAGAUAUUAGGAAGAACACCAGUGGCGAAGGCGGCCUGCUGGACGACAACUGACGGUGAGGCGCGAAAGCGUGGGGAGCAAACAGGAUUAGAUACCCUAGUAGUC